rnacentral:rRNA from 1 species
AGCGAACGCUGGCGGCAGGCCUAACACAUGCAAGUCGAACGGCCGUAGCAAUACGGCAGUGGCAGACGGGUGAGUAACACGUGGGAAUGUACCUCUUGGUUCGGAACAACUCCGGGAAACUGGAGCUAAUACCGGAUAAGCCCUUCACGGGGCAAAGGAUUUAUCGCCGAGAGAUCAGCCCGCGUCCGAUUAGCUAGUUGGUGGGGCUAAUGGCCCACCAAGGGCGACGAUCGGUAGCUGGUCUGAGAGGAUGAUCAGCCACACUGGGACUGAGACACGGCCCAGACUCCUACGGGAGGCAGCAGUGGGGCAAUAUUGGACAAUGGGCGCAAGCCUGAUCCAGCCAUGCCGCGUGAGUGAUGAAGGCCCCUAGGGUUGUAAAGCUCUUUCGGCGGGG